UGAAUUUCAACAGAGAUGGCAAGG
rnacentral:piRNA from 2 species